ACGCUCGACACCUACGGGGGGCAGCAGUGGGGAAUAUUGCACAAUGGGGGAAACCCGUGAUGCAGCGACGCCGCGUGAGCGAAGAAGUAUUUCGGUAUGUAAAGCUCUAUCAGCAGGGAAGAAACUGACGGUACCUGACUAAGAAGCACCGGCUAAAUACGUGUCAGCAGCCGCGGUAAUCUGAGCGGGCUGGCAAGGC
rnacentral:rRNA from 1 species